UAGAAUCCUUGGGUUGCUCCAUUUAUUGCUGCUCCUUUGAUCACUGUCAGAUCCUCAUGUUUAAUUGAGUCGUUAGUCAGAUGCCAUAGUCAGUCACACUCCAUAGAGAACAAACAUAUAUUUUCUGGAGCAGACAAAGUAACUAGCCACUGGGACCAUAAGCACACCACCAUACUUAGAGGCUGACAACUAUGCAGGACAUCAGUACAGCUAUAUGAAAGGGAUCACAAAAGCAGUGUUUGUGUUUUCCAGUAAUGAUGCAGGAGGAAGGAGGAUGGACUUAAAAUCUAAAGAAAUAACCAAUGCCAGAGAUGUGAAAGGACAUGGUUCCAGAUUUUGUUUCCUACUGACUGGCAAGACCUUAUGCUCCCAGUUGAACACAGAGAUCAGAAUUUUUCUGGGGUUCUCCUUCAAUGGUGGAGUAGCUCACCAAAGUGAUGAUCAAGACAGAAGUUACCCCAUGAUAUGUCCUAAUUUUUGUUUUCCAGAAAGGCUAUAUUUGCAUUGGAAAUUUGCUGCUGAUGGGGAAGUUCUUGCUUCCCCAAUAGAAAUUACUUGAAAAUAUAAAAUAUAAAUUGUUUGUUCUGUAUGCAAGGGGAUUCUCUCUCUAUAGUUAUUUCAGUUGAGAAUACAAGGAAAAGAAGACCGACUCACAGACUUUCUCCUUCCUUUAUGAAGGACUCUGUCCUACCACCAAAGCUUUCAGAAGGAAUUACUAGGUCUUUCUAGAAGAGGCGAUACAGCAAGAUUUAGAUUUAAGAGCUCUAACUGCACCAACUCAGAGCAGCUGCUGAAAAGACCUACACUUCCACUUUGUCCAAUUAUGUGGGCUAGUGGGAAAAACAGCUUUAAUACUAUGCAUACUAUGAAGCAGAAUAUUGUCCUUCUGAACAGAGUAGGCAGAUGGGUACACACAAGUGAAGAGAAAUAAAAACACCCAAAGGAAAUAAUGUAACUCAUUGCAUCUGUAUGUACAAAAAAUGAGGCACAGCUGUAAGUCCAGAAAUCAGAAAAAGGCUAUCUAUCCUCUCUGCUACCUCUUUAACAAUGAGCCAGCUACGAGUGGCUGCUGCCCUGUUGGAGGAUGAGGACUUUCACUCCCUAUAGUUCUGGCCAGUAU